rnacentral:rRNA from 1 species
UGCAUUUAGAAUAUCAACUUUUAUUGAUUCACAACAUAACUAACUGGUCUUGAAAGGUAAAUAAAGUUAGGCUUAGUCAGUACUUCUUUAUGGGAGACCUUCAAGGAAAUCUAAUCCUGGAGGCUA